GGGGAUGCAAUGCAUCGACAGAAUUGCUCUUUAAAAACUGCAAGCCGAUAAUGAUACUAAUCGUAAAAGCGUAUCAAAAACAAAUGCUAAGAAUUUUCUUAGCGGUCAAAGUUUUGCUUACGCACAACCUGCGUACGCUUACAACUAAGACCUGUCCGUAUCAUUCUUUUCUCAAACGGUUAGAUACGGGCAUAAACACAGUUUGAGAUAGGGUUUAGAGACUGAUUGAUUCUAGGCUAGAAAAUUAAAAUCUUGGAAUUGCCUUUCCUGUUAAUUGGAUCAGAGCAAGACGACAAUUAAAAAUUAACUAAGCUUGUAGAUGUUUUUGAUUAACAGUCCUGGACGUGGGAGCAAUACCCACCAUCUCCACAA
rnacentral:tmRNA from 2 species